AUGACUGCUUGUGAAUUACUAGUCUGCAUCGCUUUCUUAAGAAUUAUACCACUUCUACUACGUUGAUCAUCUUUCCAAAAUGUUCUUACACUGACAACUUUUCUUCUUGCCUCAUUCUUUACUGCCUUCAAGUUUGUCUCAAGUUCUUUUACUUAGUUUGUGUUCUCUCAGUUGGUAUUGUUGCAAAGAUACUUCAUAUUUCUUAAUACGCUUUCUCUGUUCAACAGCAUCAGUUUCCACAGAAGAAACGUCAACACGUGCACUCUUUUCUUCUGAGAGUCACAAUCAGAAGUUGCUAAGGAAUGACACGCACCGUUGAUCUAGAUAACACAGUCAUGAUACUAUACUAAUCACCGCUGUUUCACAACAAUGAAAAUUCACCACUUAGUUUAUCAGGAUGUAGUACAUGAUUAUGACAUCAUUCCAAAAACCACAAGCCAGUGGAAAUGGGUCUGGUCUUAGGAGUAUCCCCAUGGGAAGGGGAGUUCCUAAGUAUGUGUAAAUUCUGUACUUCCCGUUUCAUAAAAAUCACGCGAACACAGCUUUAGUUGUAGCUGCUUGUACAAGUACAUGUUGUGGCCAACAUGAAUGGUGUCUGCAGCAAAGAAGCGCUUCUGUCCACAAACGCGUUUUCCAAGACUAGUAACAAGCAGUAUACUAUAAAGGAAGCUUUCAGAAGGUCGGCACGUUAUGGUAGACGGUGCAACAUGG